rnacentral:rRNA from 1 species
AUACGUAGGGGGCUAGCGUUAUCCGGAUUUACUGGGUGUAAAGGGAGCGUAGGCGGCAAGGCAAGUCUGAUGUGAAAACCCGGGGCUCAACCCCCGGGGACUGCAUUGGAAACUGCUUAGCUAGAGUGUCGGAGAGGUAAGUGGAAUUCCUAGUGUAGCGGUGAAAUGCGUAGAUAUUAGGAGGAACACCAGUGGCGAAGGCGACUUACUGGACGAUAACUGACGCUGAGGCUCGAAAGCGUGGGGAGC